UAUAUCGGGGGUGGUCUUGUUCGCUUCUUUGCCACUUUCAGCUUUCGCUUUGCGUUUGCGCGCCGAAAGUCAACUGAGUUGGGAGUGUGUGCCGGUUGUGGAUCGAAUGGACGUGGAAAGUGAAGCUUCUCGGCUGCAUGAAGCUGGGGCUGCUGGGGAUCCCGCCUGCUGCUGAUCUAAGGGGCCUCAGCCCACCAUUGCCGAUCCUCCCUGGGUACCUGUGAGGAUGGCGUCGAGACCUCUGCCCCCAACGCCCCCCCAAGAAGCAUUAUUUGAAAGCGCGCGGGACGCGGCGAAGCAAGAACGGAGUCCGUGGCUACGAAGCAAGCUGCUAUCAAGUGUCGACGAUUAAUGGACACCGCGUCGCACGCAAGCCCGUGUCGAGAGCCGACGUGAGAAUCGGAGCGCGAAGGCAGGCACCGUCGCCCACGUCUUGGAUGGACACUUUUCAAAACC